AUGAACCAGACCCCAGCCCGCACAGGGACCGCUCACUGGGGCUGUCCCAGAGACGUCCUGGUGGCCGCAGGGCAUGGCCCUGGCAAGCCUCGAUGUGCUGGGACUCCUCUGGGAUUUUGGGAGGGGCCCAGGGCACACGGCCAUAGGGCUCUGAGCCCACCCCAGGUCACUCUCUUGGGGCUCUCGGGGACUUCCUGGGCUAUUGGCGUGCCAGGGGGACCUCAGGGCCUUGUGAAGUCUCAGAGCUCCCUGGGGUUAUCCCAAGGUCUCGGGGUGCUGACAGGGCUCUGCGACGUCCCCAGGAUGAGUGCUGUCCCCAGGUCCCGGCUUUCAUCCCGGGCAUCCCUCAGGGCCGUGCCAGGCCUUGGGGGGGGACCCCACCAGCCCCACGCCCGUCCCGGGCUCCCCCCAAACUCUCCCUUGGGCCGGGGUCCCCAAACGUUCCCCCCAGGCCCCUCCCAGAGACCCGCAGCGCCGGCCCGGCCCCCGGCGGCCCCGGUUGUCCCGGGGGCGGAGCGGGGCGGGGUGGCGGCGGCGGAAGCGGGCGGCGGCGGCGGCGAUGGCGCUGCGGAGCCCCGGGCGGCGGCGGGCGGCGAUGCCGGGAUAAGGCGGGCGGCCAUGGCGCAGGGAGCCGGCCCGGCGCUGCGGCUGCUCCCGGCGCUGCUGCAGCUCCUGGUGCUCCUGCAGCUCCUGGUGCUCCCCGCCGGUCACGGCAACAGCACCGGCUCCGGUUGAGGCAGAUGGGCAGGAGCUGGCGCCCGAGUGGGCUGGAAGAGGGUUUGGCAGCGUGAGCGGAGCAGUGGGCAGCUCUUCGCGGUGGCAUGCCCGGGGCUCCCACCGUGCAUAUGGCAGAGGCUGUGCUGGCUGGGGGCCGUGCCCCAUCCUCCGGAGGUGCAGCCAGGCGUUGCAGUGUUGGGAAAGCGUGGGCAUGGGAGGUUGUUCAGAUGCUUCAGCACGCUGUGGAGGUAAGUUGGCGCUGACUGCGGUUAUCAGCUGCUGAUGGUGGUUAUCGUGCUGUACUUCCUCAUAGUCUGCAAAGCAUGUAGGCUGCUCCAGAAAGCCUGUGAGGCCAAGGUGAGAUGUCCUUUCGCCCCAGGCCCACCCUCCUCUGGCAUCCUGCUAGCUGGGUUCCCAGCCCAGAGGAAAGCUACCCUGUAUUUGAGGUGCGUUGUUAGGUUUUUCUUGGCGUCAGCCUGUCGGCUGGGAGAAAUGCCACGUUAGGAUUAGAUCUGAGAGCUGGUAAAGAUGAGGUCUGCCCCAGAGGAGUGAGGUUACCUUCUUCUGGAACAUGUAAAGAUGGAAUUUUGACACAGACUAAAGGAAUAGGGUUUCUGUUACAUUAUAAAUGGCAAAAAAAAACCAACCCUGCCACAUAGUCAUUUCUUGUCUUGA
rnacentral:lncRNA from 1 species